GCUGCCGUAGCUCAGUGGUAGAGCACCCCCUUGGUAAGGGGGAGGUCCACAGCUCAAUCCUGUGCGGCAGCACCA
rnacentral:tRNA from 1 species